GAGAGAUGGCUGAGUGGUCGAAAGCGGUAGAUUGCUAAUCUAUUG
rnacentral:tRNA from 14 species